rnacentral:rRNA from 1 species
GUACGGGGGGGGCAAGCGUUGUUCGGAAUUACUGGGCGUAAAGGGCUCGUAGGCGGCCAACUAAGUCGGAUGUGAAAUCCCCAAGCUUAACUUGGGAACUGCAUCCGAUACUGGAUGGCUUGAAUCCGGGAGAGGGAUGCAGAAUUCCAGGUGUAGCGGUGAAAUGCGUAGAUAUCUGGAGGAAUACCGGUGGCGAAGGCGGCAUCCUGGACCGGCAUUGACGCUGAGGAGCGAAAGCUAGGGGAGCAAACGGGG